AGCGGCGGACGGGUGAGUAACGCGUGGGUAACCUGCCCUGUACACACGGAUAACAUACCGAAAGGUAUGCUAAUACGAGAUAAUGUGCUUUUAUCGCAUGGUAGAGGUAUCAAAGCUCCGGCGGUACAGGAUGGACCCGCGUCUGAUUAGCUAGUUGGUAAGGUAACGGCUUACCAAGGCGACGAUCAGUAGCCGACCUGAGAGGGUGAUCGGCCACAUUGGAACUGAGACACGGUCCAAACUCCUACGGGAGGCAGCAGUGGGGAAUAUUGCACAAUGGGCGAAAGCCUGAUGCAGCAACGCCGCGUGAGCGAUGAAGGCCUUCGGGUCGCAAAGCUCUGUCCUCAAGGAAGAUAAUGACGGUACUUGAGGAGGAAGCCCCGGCUAACUACGUGCCAGCAGCCGCGGUAAUACGUAGGGGGCUAGCGUUAUCCGGAUUUACUGGGCGUAAAGGGUGCGUAGGUGGUUUCUUAAGUCAGAGGUGAAAGGCUACGGCUCAACCGUAGUAAGCCUUUGAAACUGGGAAACUUGAGUGCAGGAGAGGAGAGUGGAAUUCCUAGUGUAGCGGUGAAAUGCGUAGAUAUUAGGAGGAACGCCAGUUGCGAAGGCGGCUCUCUGGACUGUAACUGACACUGAGGCACGAAAGCGUGGGGAGCAAACAGGAUUAGAUACCCUGGUAGUCCACGCCGUAAACGAUGAGUACUAGCUGU
rnacentral:rRNA from 1 species